GAUUAGCCAGUGAAUCUUUCCUUUAAGAGGUGGUGGAAAUGUAUUCAUUUUUAAAGUUAGAAUUGGUAAUAUUAGAAUAAUAAUAGUCUAAACAAUAUCUUGUGCUAUAGUCGGGUACGAGCAGGACAGGAGAGGGCUCCCCCACUACACACACACUAGGUGUGUGGGGCAACCACCCUGUGAUGGUCAGGCAGUUGUUAACUGUUUUGCUACAGUAAUAAUUGGUCACAGCUGGCACCAGGGAAAGACAGUCUCUUAACAGAUAGAAAACACCUGAAACUGGUGAGCAGCCGCUUCUGGAUCAGAUCUCAGCGUUGGAUGAGCAGGAGAACCAACGCAAGACCUCGGAAGUGUGCCAAGGAAAAGAGGAAGACAGUAACUUGACAGUGGAGAAACCUGGAAGCCAUUGCCUUAAUCAUGAAGAAUAAAACCACAUCCUGGAGGCAGAAAAACCAUCUUGUGCCCAUGAGGGAGAACACCAAACAAAUUUGUAUGACUUCCUUGAGUAGCUGCAUUUAUAUUGGACUGUCUACCUCCUGACUUCUUGUCCUGUAAGAAAAAUCAAUCUCAAUUUGAUUAAGCUACUGAGUUGGAUUUCUGUUCAUGCAACUGAAUGUCAUAUCUAAUAUAAUAUUGGAUCCACUUCUUAGAGAUUGACAAUGAACAUUGCAUAUUAAAGAUUUUAAGAAGCCCUAUUUAUAUCUGUUUAACCUAAUAUUAAAAUUAUUUGACUACCUAA